CCGCGAAUUGCCCUUCGGGGUGCAGCAGGCGCGAAAACUUUACAAUGCCGGCAACGGCNNAUAGGGAACCUCGAGUGCCAGGUUACAAAUCUGGCUGUCGUGAUGCCUAAAAAGCAUUGCAUAGCAAGGGCCGGGCAAGACCGGUGCCAGCCGCCGCGGUAACACCGGCGGCUCGAGUGGUAACCGUUAUUAUUGGGUCUAAAGGGUCUGUAGCCGGCCGGGUAAGUCUCUUGGGAAAUCUGGCAGCUUAACUGUCAGGCUUUCAGGAGAUACUGCCUGGCUCGAGGCCGGGAGAGGUGAGAGGUACUUCAGGGGUAGGGGUGAAAUCUUGUAAUCCUUGAAGGACCACCAGUGGCGAAGGCGUCUCACCAGAACGGACCUGACGGCAAGGGACGAAAGCUAGGGGCACGAACCGGAUUAGAUACCCGGGUAGUCCUAGCCGUAAACGAUACUCGCUAGGUGUCGGCCACGGUGCGACCGUGGUCGGUGCCGUAGGGAAGCCGUGAAGCGAGCCACCUGGGAAGUACGGCCGCAAGGCUGAAACUUAAAGGAAUUGGCGGGGGAGCAC
rnacentral:rRNA from 1 species